GAUGAAGAACGUAGCGAAAUGCGAUAAGUAAUGUGAAUUGCAGAAUUCAGUGAAUCAUCGAAUCUUUGAACGCACAUUGCGCCCGCCAGUAUUCUGACGGGCAUGCCUGUUCGAGCGUCAUUUCAACCAUCAAGCCCCCGGCUUGUGUUGGGGACCUGCGGCUGCCGCAGGCCCUGAAAACCAGUGGCGGGCUCGCUAGUCACUCCGAGCGUAGUAAUACAUCUCGCUCAGGGCGUGCUGCGGGUUCCGGCCGUUAAAAAGCCUUAUUUACCCAAGGUUGACCUCGGAUCAGGUAGGAAGACCCGCUGAACUUAAGCAUAUCAAUAAGCGGAGGA
rnacentral:misc_RNA from 1 species